GAAUUUUGGACAAUGGGCGAAAGCCUGAUCCAGCAAUGCCGCGUGCAGGAUGAAGGCCUUCGGGUUGUAAACUGCUUUUGUACGGAACGAAAAGCUUUGGGGUAAUACCCUGGAGCCAUGACGGUACCAUAAGACUAAGCACCGGCUAACGACGUGCAAGCCGCCGCGGUAAUACGUACGGUGCAAGCGUUAAUCGGAAUGACUGGGCGUAAAGCGGGCGCAGGCUGUUUUGUAAGACAGAGGUGAAAUCCACGGGCUCAACCUGGGAACUUCCUUUGUGACUGCAAGGCUAGAGUACGGCAGAGGGGGGUGGAAUUCCGCGUGUAGCAGUGAAAUGCGUAGAUAUGCGGAGGAACACCGAUGGCGAAGGCAACCCCCUGGGCCUGUACUGACGCUCAUGCACGAAAGCGUGGGGAGCAAACAGG
rnacentral:rRNA from 1 species